rnacentral:rRNA from 1 species
UCAGGAAUAUUGGGCAAUGGGCGAAAGCCUGACCCAGCAACGCCGCGUGAAGGAUGAAGGCCCUCGGGUCGUAAACUUCUGUCGAGAGGGAAGAAUGCGUACGGGUGAAUAAUCUGUGCGUUUGACGGUACCUCCAAAGGAAGCACCGGCUAACUCCGUGCCAGCAGCCGCGGUAAUACGGAGGGUGCAAGCGUUGUUCGGAUUCAUUGGGCGUAAAGCGAGUGUAGGCGGUUUGACAAGUCGGAUGUGAAAUCCCGGGGCCCAACCCCGGAACUGCAUCCGAUACUGUCUGGCUAGAGUCCCGGAGAGGGUGGCGGAAUUCCCGGUGUAGGGGUGAAAUCCGUAGAUAUCGGGAGGAACACCAGUGGCGAAGGCGGCCACCUGGACGGUGACUGACGCUGAGACUCGAAAGCGUGGGUAGCAAACAGGAUUAGAUACCCUGGUAGUCCACGCUGUAAACGGUGAGUGCUCGUCGUCGUGGGUAUUGACCCCUGCGGUGACC